AUUAGCUAGUAGGUGGGGUAACGGCCUCACCUAGGCGACGAUCCCUAGCUGGUCUGAGAGGAUGACCAGCCACACUGGAACUGAGACACGGUCCAGACUCCUACGGGAGGCAGCAGUGGGGAAUAUUGCACAAUGGGGGAAACCCUGAUGCAGCAACGCCGCGUGAGUGAUGAAGGUUUUCGGAUCGUAAAGCUCUGUCUUUGGGGAAGAUAAUGACGGUACCCAAGGAGGAAGCCACGGCUAACUACGUGCCAGCAGCCGCGGUAAUACGUAGGUGGCGAGCGUUAUCCGGAUUUACUGGGCGUAAAGGGAGCGUAGGCGGAUGAUUAAGUGGGAUGUGAAAUACCCGGGCUCAACUUGGGUGCUGCAUUCCAAACUGGUUAUCUAGAGUGCAGGAGAGGAGAGUGGAAUUCCUAGUGUAGCGGUGAAAUGCGUAGA
rnacentral:rRNA from 1 species